ACCAAACCGCGUGAAAAUUUUCGCGCACCGCCAAUUGGUUUAUAUUUAAUGAUUCCGACGGAAUACUGACGAACCCGUGUCCGUCGGAAUCAUCAAAUAUAAUUACCCUUCUUCUUCCUUCUUCGUUAUUUCCGCCUCUCUCUCUAUCCUCUCCGCCGUUUCUCUCUCUUUCAAGGCGAUUCCGGCGGUUUUCGAGCUCCCAUCCCCGGCGAUUCCUCUACCCACGCUCAUAUCUCUUCCCCCAAACCCGAAAUCAUGUCCGAGGAAUCACCCCGCCCCGCAGCCCGUCGACGUAGUUCGGUGAGCUCUUCCCGUGCAUCGGGAUCGUCUCACGAACAAAACUCGUUUCCCGCAUAUAUUCCCGCUCCACCUCCCGCUCCUGCUCAACAGAAUCCGGGGGUCAUGCCAGUUGAACUAUUGGUUCAACAACCGGGUCGAGAGCAUCUCCCGGUUCUCCAUCCCACCCCACGACGAGGACAUAGCACUUGGUUCACCAAGUCGAGUAAUGGCAUUAGCAGGAGCAUCAACCAGAUGAUGUAUUCCAUGCUCCAAAUUGGAUAUACGAAGUGGAGUGAGAUCCCUCAAGAAGACCAAGAGUUGUGGUUUCGUCAAUUUGCAGUA